rnacentral:tRNA from 1 species
GCGGCGCUGGGCUGGGCCGAAGCCCUGACCCGGUUGACCGACGGUGCGCCGUCGCAGGCGGCGUUCGAUGCGUUGGCGCCGCAC